UUAUAUCAUCACGCAAUGUUUCUUUCUGUUUCUGCAAUUACAAAACGCAAACCCAGGCAUACACCUUCACACACAUGGCGCACGCAAAUGCAACCCCAUCAUCGGGGGGUGCAAAUUUUAUCCUUUAAAUCGCACUGAAUUAAUAAUUUCUAACCAUACCUGUAAGAUAAUAAGUUUUGGGGAACCAGCGCAACCCUCUAAGGGUGGCUUAUCUCAUUAUAUAUAAUGGUUGUGUUACAAUACGUACAUAAGUACAGAAGCUAUACAUAGUCUAACACCCUCCCUCAAUCUUAGCCACUUUCUAAAGAACUGAGAAGGGUAAGAUUGCGCCUACAAGCCUCAAACUGUGGCAGCGGUAAAGGCUUAGUGAAGAUGUCUGCAAGUUGAUCCUUAGAUGAGAUAAACUUGAUCUGGAGUUGCUUCUGCGAUACACGUUCCCGUACAAAGUGAUAGUUAACUUCAAUGUGUUUCGUUCGGGCAUGAAAUACUGGAUUUGCAGAAAGGUAUGUAGCACCGAUGUUAUCACACCAAAGAAUAGGAGGCUGUGGUUGAGACAAACCCAACUCCUGAAGCAAAGACUGCACCCAAAUAAUCUCUGCAGUAGCAUUAGCCAUAGCCUUGUACUCAGCUUCAGUACUGCUACGUGACACAGUAGCCUGUUUCCGAGCACUCCAGGCGAUCAAAUUAGGGCCAAAGAAUACUGCAUAACCCCCCGUGGAUCGCCUGUCAUCUGGGCUACCAGCCCAAUCUGCAUCAGAGAAGGCCGAAAGGACCCGAGAGGAAGUCGGCCGAAUAUGCAUACCAAAUGUCAGGGUGAACUGAACAUAACGAAGAAUGCGUUUAACAGCAGCCCAAUGAGUAUCUCUGGGAGCCUGAAGAUACUGACAAACCCUGUUAACAGCAUAAGAGAUAUCUGGUCUCGUGAUCGUCAAGUACUGAAGUCCACCAACAAUGCUCCUGUACUCUGUGGCGUCCGCAGGAGACAAAAGCUCACCAUCAACAACUGUUAUCUUGUCGGUAGACGACAUGGGUGUGGUGGUCGGUUUGCACUUCAGCAUGCCAGCUCUUUGUAACAACUCCAAGGAGUACUUCUUCUGCGUAAGGACAAGACCAGUAGCACGAGAAGUGACCUCAACUCCAAGAAAGUAGUGAAGCUUCCCAAGAUCUUUGACCGCAAAAUCAGCACCAAGAGAGCAGACAAGAGCAUUAGCAGCAUACUGAGAAGAGCUGACAAGGAUAAUAUCAUCGACAUAUACCAAAAGAUACAUAGUGACUUCUGGCUUCUGUAGAAGAAAUAAUGAAGUGUCAGCAGUGGACGGCACAAACCCAUGAGCACGAAGGGCAGAGGCAAGGCGGGCAUGCCAGGCACGAGGAGCUUGCUUCAAACCAUAUAGUGCUUUGGAAAGACGACAGAUAUAGUCAGGACGAUCAGGAUCAGAGAAACCAGGUGGUUGUUUCAUAUAAACCUCUUCCUCCAAAAAUCCAUGUAGAAAAGCAUUCUGCACAUCAAGUUGACGAAGUGACCAACCACGAGAAACAACAAUGGAGAGAAGAAGCCGAAUAGUGGUAGGCUUGAUGACAGGACUGAAGGUGUCCUCAUAGUCAAGACCAUGACGCUGCCGAAAACCGCGAGCAACAAGUCGCGCUUUGUAACGCUCAAUAGAUCCAUCCGAAUGCUUCUUCACUUUGAAUACCCAUUUUGAGUCAAUAACAUUUACCCGUGGUGGUGGAGGAACAAGAGUCCAUGUCUUGUUACGAAGAAGAGCAUGAAACUCCUGCUCCAUAGCCUCUCGCCAAUGUGGAAUGCGCAGGGCAGCCUGAUAUGAGCGAGGCUCAGAAGAUGGAUCCGCAACAGCAGCAGCCAAACAAGCAGCCAACCAAGCAACCGUACCAUCCUUACGUUCCUUAGGUUUGAAAAUGCCACUGCGACUGCGUGUAUGUGGUCGGGACACAUGAACCACCGAGGUCGACGGAGCAGCCUGCAACGGGCUGGAGGACGGCGACGUUGACGAGUCAGCCGGUGACGAGGAGCCAGUCACAGUAGCCUCGGACUCGGUCGACGAAGAAGGCCGGCCCACCGGCGAAACUGGCAGAGCAGACGAAGCAGCUGGCGACUCCGGCAUCACAGACCGGGCCGUUGGCGAGCUCGGCAUAGUGGGCCGUGGCGCGGCCGGUGUCGCGGGCCGAUCCGCGGAUGAAGGCGACGUGAGGACCCGAGCCACGGGCGAAGACGGCGUGACGGGCCGAGCCGCAGGCGAAGACGGCGUGACGGGCCGAGCCGCGGGCGACUCGGCGACCGCUGGCGAAAAAGGCCGAGCCGCUGGAAACUCGGCGAUCGCUGGCGUAGCGGACCGAGCAGUGGAGAUGCUCGGCGCGACGGGCUCGUCGGGUGACCAUGCAUGGGCACGCGAAUCGACGCCAUGCAACAUAGGGCGAUCGACGUGCCCAACAGAAGACGACGAUGAUGAUGGUGAAUCCUCCAACAGCUCCAAACGAGCUCCACGUCCGGUUCCUGCACCAUGGUUAGGUAACAGCAAAGGAGAGUAUGCAACAUCAUCAAAUUGGUCAGAAGCAACAGAGGAUGAAUGCAGUGAUGGUGGUUCGACAGUAGACACAGGAAGGUUGGCAAAGGGAAAAACAUGCUCAUCAAACACGACGUCCCGAGAUAUAUAGACACGAUUAGUGGGAACAUGAAGACAUUUGUAACCUUUAUGAAGAGAGCUAUAGCCAAGAAAAACACACUUCUUAGAACGAAACUCAAGCUUGCGCUUGUUAUAUGGACGAAGAUGCGGCCAGCAAGCACACCCAAAUACCUUGAGAAAGGUAUAAUCAGGUUGUUCAUUAAGGAGAACCUCAAUGGGAGUCUUCAUGUUUAAAACACGAGUAGGAGUACGGUUGAUGAGAAAGCAUGCAGUGGUGAAAUCAUCACUCCAAAACCGAAACGGAACAGAUGCAUGGGCCAAAAGAGUAAGACCAGCUUCAACAAUAUGACGAUGCUUACGUUCAACUGAACCAUUCUGCUGAUGUGUAUGUGGACAUGCUAAACGAUGAGCUAUCCCAAGCGACUGAAAGAAAGAGUUGAGGUUGCGAUACUCGCCCCCCCAAUCCGACUGGACAUGAACAAUUUUGUGCUUGAGAAGACGUUCAACAUGUUUUUGAAACUGAACAAAAAUAUCAAACACAUCAGAUUUGCGUUUAAUAAGGUAAAGCCAGGUAAAGCGACUAUAAGCAUCAACGAAACUGAUAUAGUAAUUAUGACCACUGACAGAAGUCUGAGCAGGACCCCAUACAUCUGAAAACACAAGUUCUAAAGGAUGUUUCACCUCACGACUGGACUCCGAAAAAGGAAGUUGAUGACUCUUCCCCUGCUGACAAGCAUCACACACUGCUACAUCUUUAUUACUAGACAAACUAGGAAGCUCAUGACGACGCAAAAUAUGACGGACAAUAGGUGUGGCCGGGUGACCAAGACGAGCAUGCCACUGUGACGGAGAGACCCUAACUCCACUGAAAACGCGAGCGACGCCAGGAUGCUCCAGACGGUAGAGGCCCUGGCACAACCGCCCACUAAGAAGAAUGUCCCUCGUGCCCCGAUCCUUAAUAAAAAGAUCAAAAGGGUGAAAUUCACAAAGCACAUUAUUAUCACGUGUGAGUUUAGGAACUGAAAGAAGAUUACGGGUCACAGAUGGAACUCGAAGAACAUUGCGAAGCUGAAGAUUCCUAUUGGCAUGUCUAGUGAGAAGAGAUGCUUGACCAAUAUGAGAGAUGUGCAUACCUGCUCCAUUGGCGGUGUGGAUCUUGUCGGAGCCAUGAUAGGGUUCACGAGUGUGAAGCUUCCCCAUCUCGCUGGUCAGAUGCUCUGUCGCCCCAGAGUCCAUGUACCAGUGUGGAUCGAUGGAGUAGGACUGAGUGUGUCCCUGUUGCUUCUGCGGCGCGGGACGAUCAACCAUGGCGACCUGACGGGCAUUGUUGCGUGUAUCUUUGCCGUCAUUGCCAAGACCAAGGAAGCUUCGCUGGAAGCGCUUAUGACACUUGGAGGCCCAGUGCCCAUCGCGGCCACAAAGUUGACACACACGUAGACCGCCAGCCCCCGGUAAGGUCGCAGUAGGUGGGGGGGCCGAGGCGGGCGACAGUGGCAGCCCCAAGGGAGACCGGAGUGAUGAAGAAGAGCGGCCACCCUUGGUGGCGGCGUUGGCCGAGAGGGAGCCAGUGCCCCUGGUGCGGCGAGUCUCGACCCGUUGCUCAGUGAGAAGGAGCCGAGAGAAAACCUCGUGUGCCAGCAUGGGUGUCGAGUUGCCCCGCUCGUUGAUGAUCUCGACUAAGGCAUCAUACUCCUCAUCAAGACCAUUGACAAUAAACGAGUUGAACUCGGAGUCGGUGAGGGGCUGUCCAAUGGAAGCCAAUGUGUCGGCGAGGCCCUUGACCUUGUUGUAGAACUCAGUGGCAGUGGAGUCAAGCUUCUGACACUCUCCAAGCUGACGACGGAGUGCAGAGACACGAGCCUGGGACUGCGCUGCAAAGGUGCGCUCAAGGAUGGUCCAGGCCUCAUGAGACGUCUUCGCGAAGACAACAAGGCCGGCAACUGCUGGCGAGAGCGACCCCUGGAUGGAGGAGAGGUUCGCCUGGUCCUGCCCCGUCCAGACGCGAUGGGCCGGAUUGUAGACCGGACCGUGCACGCUGUCUAUCAGCGCGGGUGGGCGGGGAAGCGAUCCGUCGACGUAGCCUAGCAGGUAGUGACUCCCCAAGAGCGGGAGAACCUGCGCACGCCAGAAGAUGUAGUUGUCGGCGGAGAGCUUGAUGGUGAUGAGAUGACCGAAGUGAAACGGCGGCGGCGAAGACGAUCCCAUCGAGGAGGCUGCCUGGGGUGCAAACACCAUGGAGGCAGUCAGAGGCACCGAAGCCGAUGCGGGAGGAGGCGGGACCGCAGCCAGGGCGAGCGCCGCAAAGCUCGCGGCCGGUUCGGACGCCGCAAGGCCCGCGGCCGGGGCGGACGCCGCCAACCCCGCCAGCGGGGCGGUGUGAUCCGCUUGCGGCAGGAGCGGCGGGACGACACCUGCGGAGUCCGCAGCGGACGGCGGCGCCGCGGUGUGGACUACGAGGUCACGCCCAAGCGAGGGCGCCGGCGGCGUGGAGAAGACGGAGCCGAUGCUCCUUGUCCCGAUCGGAGCCGGAACGGAGACGGCAUCGAGCGGGAGGUUGAGCAGAGCCGCAAGAGAGGCCGGGAGGAAGCCCGCAGCAGUGGAACCGGUGGUGGCGGCGCUCGUCAUGGCGGCGGCGUGAUCGGUGGCGCGGCGGCUGCGGUGAAGGCGGCGGCGGCUGCGGCGGCGGUGCGGGUUUUAGGGUUUAGAAGCGGAAGCGAUCGUAACCUAGCGUGAUACCAUGUAAGACAAUAAGUUUUGGGGAACCAGCGCAACCCUCUAGGGGUGGCUUAUCUCAUUAUAUAUAAUGGUUGUGUUACAAUACGUACAUAAGUACAGAAGCUAUACAUAGUCUAACAAUACCGCAGAAAGAACAAGCUAAAUUAAUACAAAUUAUUACUAAACAAGUAAAUAUCAUGAAAAUACAACGUCUAUCAAAAUCACACAUUUACAUAUUUCUUCGCUAUGCUUGAAUUCCUUAACCUGAAAUUUAAUAAUAUAUGAAAAACAAUAAGUGACAUUUGAUAUAGGGAACAAAGAUCAACUAGUAAUACUCUGCAACGGGCCGAUGAUGCUCUGCCAGGGGCUUCCCAAAUUUCAAAACCCAGUCUGUUUCUACUUUUCGUUGGGAGCGAGCUUUAUCCCGCAGGUUAGUUACGAUCCUCCGCCUCGCACCCGAUCCCCGCCGUCCAUUCCCGAUCGCGCGGCCCGCGACGGGCGGAAACCCCGGGCCGCCACCUGGCCGCCCCUCCCGCAAGGCUGACACACGCCUGCGACGCAACAGCCUUUUCUGCACCGAG
rnacentral:lncRNA from 1 species